AUGCAGCUCAGCCAAACGCCGGUUCCAGCAACUCUCGCCCCCAACAUAGCACGCAGCUCGCCAUCGUCGUGGACCUACACCACCGGAUACCAGCGAAAAAACACAUCUCAGCCCAAAAAAGAACUCCGGUGGUCAGUUGUAGCAAAUCAAAAACUGGUUCCAGCAAAAAAAUUGCGGUCUCCAGCAAAACGACCUGAGAAAAUAACAAAUCAAGUAAAUCGCUUGAAGAAAAAAAUUACCCUGUUCCAGCAAAGAAUAACUAUAGUUCCAGCAAAAGCAACCUAUGCAGCUCCUCGUUGUGCUGGUCCCAUUGUUGGUUCCAGCAAAAAAAUUGCAUGGUUGUAG
rnacentral:rRNA from 1 species